ensembl:ncRNA T24D11.6 ncRNA
UAUUCAGCCACACAUAUAUAGAAAUAAGAGAAAAUAAUCGGUUUCUUCUCAUCUCGAUCAACGAAAUCCUGAUUUGACGAGACGAGAAGCGAGAGGAGGGUAGUGGAAAAGAAGAACUGGUGGGACGUCGCCUUCCCGUCACUCCUCCCCGAAUCUUCACGACUUCUUUAUUCUGCCCGUCUUUCUU